rnacentral:lncRNA from 1 species
UCCCAAAGACCUGAUAAGGUGGGUACUAGAGCUACUACUAAAAAAUAUCCAGAGUACUAGACAAAAUUUAAAAUAUACACAAUUUUUACAAACAGUCUCUAGUACAAAACACUAAACUGGAAUAGAUAGAGGAGGAUCAUCCUCGGACGAUAGUAUGCUACCCGACUCCAAAUCAGUACUGAAAAGUAGAAACUACAUCAACGUCAGCUGCUAAUACUCAGAUCUGCAUCAGGAAAAAGAUGAAGAAAUGUAGCAUGAGUACUAAAGCAAUGUGUAAUCAAUAGGCAUCAUUGAUCGACUGAGCUCAAUACAUAAAAAAUAUAACUAAAAUGCGAUGGUGUAAUCUAAGUCAAUAGUAAACAGGGAUAGACAGGUAAACAACUACCAAGCUACGCAAAUGUGAUAAAGGAAUAAAUAUAAGGGAUAUAGAAAAUAAAUAAUAAGGUAAUAAUAGACAAAUCAAACAUAACCUAAUUGGGUCCCCAUAAGCCUUCUAGGCACACUGAAGAAGACAAUUAACCAAUCGUACCCCCAUAAGCAACUGGGAUCCACAAAAAGUAAUUAAUAAAAAUAAACAUAAAUAAUCUGUAACUGAUCACCAUCCCACAAAAUCAUAGUAGCCAUCUAGAUAUGCAUCAGACUUGAACCGACAUCAAUGGGUAGUGACAAGAGGCUAGAUGUCGGGCUUGAAUUGACAAUGAUGUAUAAUAACGAAAGGCCACAUGCCACAUUCAAACUGAAAAUAGUGGGUAGUAAUAAAAGGCCACAUAUAUUAUGUACAACAGAACUCAUAAUCAGAUGCCAAACUCGAAUUGGAACUCAGAGAAACCACACUUCCAGAACAACCAUAAUCAGUACCAGAACUCCUAAAUCAUCAUAACCAGAUACCGGACUCGAACCGAAACUCAUAUUAACCAUACCCAACUGUAAUAUUAAAAUCCAAACCAUACCAUUACAAAUAUCAAAGUGGUACCAAAAUUCACAAACAAUGAUAGAAAUAAAGUACAUGCUGAACCUAUGUCAAAACUAAAAUACAUUUUAUUAACCAACCACAUAUCUUAAUUAAAAAAAGGAUAAAUUCUAGGUUUUGUAGCUUAAUUUCAUGUCCUAAAGUAACAAAUACUAAAUCAUACUGAAAGAUAAGAUACCAAAAUUUACUAGAAUGGGAUUAAAAUCGAAUAAAUAAGGCAUGGUAUAUAUAUCAAAUGGUACGCAAACUAUAAGUACUUGUCAAAACUAGUAUAAUAGUGCACAAUUACCAUAAAGACUCAAUCUAAAAGUAAAGUAAACCUAACUUACCGUGAUGCCAAGCUAAAAAGCCCCUUCGAGAAGCUUCUGAGUACUGACCUACUAGAACCCGAGUUUGAGUAUUAAAAAAAUGCCCAGUAGCAGCAACAAGUCUAAGUCAACAAAUACCGAAUUUGGUCUUUUUAAAAGGUGAGAGAAGAACGAAAGGAAAGAAACAAAUAUCAAUGUUAAAAGAAACCAGUAAAGGAAUACAUACAUUUGCUUACAUGUCUUUUCCUUACUAUAUUUCAUAUAAUGAUGUGUUGUCCAUUAUUUAUCUUGUUAAUGCUAACUAAUUCUAUGGCUGCCAACUAUUAGAACACUAAUCUACCAUAAUGCUGCCAACUAACAAUUGUAAUAUUUUGCACCUCUUCCUCCACUUUCACGUGGGAUGAAGGUGGUGCAUUCCCUAUUAUUUUUAUCCCAUUACUUAUAUAUUAUAAGUAUUGCAUAAGUUUUUGAUUAAAUAAAUAUAAUAUUUUAAUUAUAUUAUAAUUAACAAAAAAAUAUUUUUAAUAAAGCCUCGAUAUAUAAGAAUAAUAUUUUAAUAUAUUUAGAUUUAUUAUUUUUGCGUAAAAUAUUAAUAGACCAUAAAAGCUAUUAUAAAGUAAUAUAAAUAUAGCAUAACUUAACGAAUUUUAUCAAUAUUAAAAAAAUAUUUUAGAAGGGUAAUAAUGUAUUUUUAACAAAUGCCAAUUUAAAUUGAAUAUUUCACAAUAUAUUUGGUAUUACUAAAAUUCUCAAAUGAAUUGCCCGAAAAUUGGACUAUCAAUUCCAACAAGUCAUAAAUAACUUGGGACAGUUAUAGAAACGCUCUAGACACCAAAAAUGCAUGAAAAUAAUAAAAAUAACCGUGAGGAUCAUUACACCCCAAUAUAAAAAGAACUAUGGAAUAUAUAAUAGACAAGAUAGAGUACUGAAAUAUGACAGUGAUUUGCCCUGUUGUGGGAUCUAACCUUUCUCAAUUAGUUAUGAAAGGGUAUUUUCAUUGAAUUUUAGUUAUGAAAGAAUAUUGUCAUCGAAUUUGGAAAUUUGUGAGAAUAGAUGAAAGUAACAUAAGUCAACAAGGAUGUGUUCUUUGUCUGAUUCCAUUGCCAAGCAAACAGGGGAAAACAGUGGAGAGGGGAAUCUAGAUACUUAAUAGAAAACAAUAGUUAUGAAGCUAUAAAGACCAUAUAUUGAAGUCAUCGAGGAGUGAGUGGAUAAUCUUCACAUAUGAAUGAGACUGGUCGGGUUGGAUAUUAUUAGGGGAAGAAUACCCUUACAAAGAUUGCAAGUUUCAUGGGUACAUUGAUAAAGCAACUACUAAUAAUGAAAGGUUGACUUAUGCUAAAAUUCUGGUGGAGAUGCCCCGCUGAGGAGUAUUUAAAAGGGUUAAUGUUAAAAAUAAGAUGGGAAAAUCAUAAAAAACCUCAUGGAGUGUGAAUGAAACCCAGCUUUGUAUAAUAGAUGUAAACUUUAGCCAUGAGCUAAAGGAUUGAGGAAUACAACAAAGAGAUCAGGAAACAGUAAACAAAGAUAACAAAAGACCUAAAGUGUAGGAUAAAGAAAACGAAAUUAGGUGAAAGGAAUGUAAGAUGAACUAAAAAGAGAGACAAUGAACUGUAACCUUUUAGAAAACAUUACAUCCCCUUGUAGGAGAACUUUUAAUAUGGUUGGGACACCCACUACUACAACUAAUACAUAUGAAAUGUUUAAGAAAUAAAUGAGAAAAAUAAGCCGCCACUGCGAAAGGGGGAGAAUAUGUUAAGUAAAAAGAGGGGUCUGAUCUUGGACAAACCAGGGAUGAGAAUCAACCCAUGCCAAAUGGAUAAAGUAGAAUUUGAAAAUUUGAAAAGGCAAAUCAUGAUAGAAAAAUGGAAGGUUAUGCAUCUUUUCAUGCAAAAUUUGACUGUGCUGUUUGAUCUCUUGGACAAAAAGACUAAGAGAUAUAAAUCUAAUCAAACAUCUCUUAAUCUUUGUAAUAUUUGUUUUUUUUAUUACAAACCUAUAUGAAUAUUUGAGAGAGAGAAUAUGAUGGUACAGAAACUAGACAUGUUUGAUGUAAACAUUCUGUAUAAUGCAACUUAGAUGAUUCAUAGUGAAGUCACAUAAUAUUUUGGAUGAAAAUGGUGUAUGGUUAUAAUAAUCAGGGGAUUCAGAGAGAAUUAUGGAAAUAUAUGAGAGAAUGGGUAACCAAAUAAAUUGACCUUAGGUAGUCAUGGGUUAUUUCAACUGUGAUUUGAAUAUAAAGGAGUGGGUGGGGAGUCCAUUCACCUUAGCACAAAUAAGGUAUUUCAGGAACUGUGUUGGGUUUGCUGAUCUAUAGGACAUAAAAUUAUCAUGCUCCUACUUCACAUAAAAUAGAAAGUAACUUGAUAAUGCCAGAGUACAGAGAAAUUCAGAGUACUGAUCGACAGAACAAGGAACAACCAUAUGUCUAUAAUUGAAGUGCAUUUUAUGAACAAGUGUCUCUAUGAUCAUUGUCUAGUCGUAAUUCAAUGGGAGAAUGGCAAUAGAAGUGAAGAAAGCUUAUUUAGAUAUUUCAACAUAUGGAACUUGGUACCUGAAUUCUAAGAUAAGGUUAAAACUAGCUGGCACGCUAGAUAUGAAGGCAGGAAGAUAUUCCAAGUAGUAGGCAAGUUAAACAGACUUAAGGAAAGUUCUCAAGACUGAAAUGGGAGAGACUCAGUGAAGUAGAGAAUAAAGUUGAUAUAGCUAUGCGACAGAUGGCUCAGGAAAGAAUCCAAUAGAAUCCAUUGAAUGCAGACACUUUAUGAGGAAGAAAAAACAGUUGCAAAAAAAGUAGGAAUACUAUACAAGGCUAAGAUUUAGUUUCAAAGGCAAAAAAUCAAAAUGCAAUGCCUUUAAAAAGGGUAUCAAUGGCAAAACCAUAAUUUUUCCUAAAGGUGGAUGUACCGAAAUACUUCCAAACGUUAGAGAUGUCGAGUAAAUAACAUUAUUAACACCUAAAUACCUAAAAUUUCCUAUGAAAAAGUUGACACUAAUUAUAGGUCUAUUGCUUUUCCUAAUACUACACAAGGUGUUCACAAAAUUGUAGUGUAACAGGCUUAAGAAAUUUUUAUCAACUAGAGUGCCUUUGUAGCAGGUAGAACAAUAAUGCAGAAUAUCUCAUAUGUAAAUACCUAGUAAGACUCUACAAUAGAAAGAAUUCCACCAAAACCUUCUUGCUCAACGUGGACCUCUGGAAAACAUAUAACAUUGUAGAAUAGGAAUUUGUGGAAGAUAUGUAAUAUGAAUUGUAAUUUCUCUAUGAAUUUACAAAGUGGAACAUGCGUUGUAUUACCACUACUCAAUGUGUGAUAGAAUGGAUAAAUUUAUGGUAAUAUUAAAGGGAUAAGAGGACUUAGACAGUGGAAUCUUAUCUUCCCCCUCCUACUUGUGAUAUGUAUGGACUAUUCCUCUAGACUGAUAAAG